rnacentral:rRNA from 1 species
AUUGAACGCUGGCGGCAUGCCUUACACAUGCAAGUCGAACGGUAACAGGUCUUCGGAUGCUGGCGAGCGGCGAACGGGUGAGUAAUAUAUCGGAACAUGCCCAGUCGUGGGGGAUAACACUUCGAAAGAAGUGCUAAUACCGCAUACGUCCUGCGGGAGAAAGCGGGGGAUCUUCGGACCUCGCGCGAUUGGAGUGGCCGAUGUCAGUUUAGCUAGUUGGUGGGGUAAAGGCCUACCAAGGCAACGAUCUGUAGCUGGUCUGAGAGGAUGAUCAGCCACACUGGGACUGAGACACGGCCCAGACUCCUACGGGAGGCAGCAGUGGGGAAUUUUGGACAAUGGGGGCAACCCUGAUCCAGCCAUUCCGCGUGAGUGAAGAAGGCCUUCGGGUUGUAAAGCUCUUUCGGCAGGAACGAAACGGCGAGCUCUAACAUAGCUUGCUAAUGACGGUACCUGAAGAAGAAGCACCGGCUAACUACGUGCCAGCCGCCGCGGUAAAAC